rnacentral:rRNA from 1 species
UACGGAGGGUGCGAGCGUUGUCCGGAAUCACUGGGCGUAAAGGGCGCGUAGGCGGCCUGAUAAGUAGGGGGUGAAAUCCUGCGGCUUAACCGCAGGGCUGCCUUCUAAACUGUCAGGCUAGAGCACAGUAGAGGCAGGUGGAAUUCCCGGUGUAGCGGUGGAAUGCGUAGAGAUCAGGAAGAACAUCGGUGGCGAAGGCGCUCUGCUGGACCAUAACUGACACUCAGGGACGAAAGCUAGGGGAGCGAAUGGG